rnacentral:rRNA from 1 species
UCGAGAAUUUUUCUCAAUGGGCGAAAGCCUGAAGGAGCGACGCCGCGUGGGGGAUGAAGGGCUUCGGCUCGUAAACCCCUGUCAUUUGCGAACAAACCUUACGAUCUAACACAUCGUGAGCUGAUUGUAGCGAAAGAGGAAGGGACGGCUAACUCUGUGCCAGCAGCCGCGGUAAUACAGAGGUCCCAAGCGUUGUUCGGAUUCACUGGGCGUAAAGGGUGCGUAGGUGGCAAGGUAAGUUUGAUGUGAAAUCUCCGGGCUUAACCCGGAAACUGCAUUGAAUACUAUCUUGCUUGAGGGUUGGAGGGGGGACUGGAAUUCUCGGUGUAGCAGUGAAAUGCGUAGAUAUCGAGAGGAACACCAGUGGCGAAGGCGAGUCCCUGGACAACUCCUGACACUGAGGCACGAAAGCUAGGGGAGCAAACAGGAUUAGAUACCCCUGUAGUCC